GGAGAUAUAGUUCAACGGUCAGAGCAACUGGCUCAUAACCAGUAAGUUGUAGGUUCGAAUCCUACUAUCUCCA
rnacentral:tRNA from 1 species